CGCGUAGGCGGCUUGCCAAGUCAGGGGUGAAAUCUUUCGGCUUAACCGGAAAACAGCCUCUGAUACUGGCGAGCUAGAGGGAGGUAGGGGUGCGUGGAACUUCUGGUGGAGCGGUGAAAUGCGUAGAUAUCAGAAGGAACGCCGGUGGCGAAAGCGACGCACUGGAUCUCUACUGACGCUGAGGCGCGAAAGCUAGGGGAGCGAACGGGAUUAGAUACCCCGGUAGUCCUAGCCCUAAACGAUGGGUACUAGGUUGUGGACUUGACAUGGGUUCACAGCCGAAGCAAAAGUGUUAAGUACCCCGCCUGGGGAUAUGGUCGCAAGGCUGAA
rnacentral:rRNA from 1 species